UACGGGGGGGGCAAGCGUUGUUCGGAAUUACUGGGCGUAAAGGGCGCGUAGGCGGCCUUCUAAGUCGGACGUGAAAUCCCUGGGCUCAACCCAGGAACUGCGUCCGAUACUGGAAGGCUUGAAUCCGGGAGAGGGAUGCGGAAUUCCAGGUGUAGCGGUGAAAUGCGUAGAUAUCAGGAGGAACACCGGUGGCGAAGGCGGGUCUCUGGGCAGUAACUGACGCUGAGGAGCGAAAGCGUGGGGAGCGAACAGG
rnacentral:rRNA from 1 species